rnacentral:rRNA from 1 species
UGGGGAAUUUUGGACAAUGGGCGAAAGCCUGAUCCAGCAAUGCCGCGUGAGUGAUGAAGGCCUUCGGGUUGUAAACCUCUUUUCUCAGGGAAGAAUCCUGACGGUACCUGAGGAAUCAGCAUCGGCUAACUCCGUGCCAGCAGCCGCGGUAAUACGGAGGAUGCAAGCGUUAUCCGGAAUGAUUGGGCGUAAAGCGUCCGCAGGUGGUGAUGCAAGUCUGCUGUUAAAGAGUGUAGCUUAACUACAUAAAGGCGGUGGAAACUGCACCACUAGAGUACGUUCGGGGCAGAGGGAAUUCCUGGUGUAGCGGUGAAAUGCGUAGAUAUCAGGAAGAACACCGGUGGCGAAAGCGCUCUGCUAGGCCGUAACUGACACUGAGGGACGAAAGCUAGGGGAGCGAAUGGGAUUAGAUACCCGCGUAGUCC